CGCUGGGGGCACAAUACAUGCAGUCGAGCGACAGACGAGGAGCUUGCUCCUCUGACGUUAGCGGCGGACGGGUGAGUAACACGUGGAUAACCUACCUAUAAGACUGGGAUAACUUCGGGAAACCGGAGCUAAUACCGGAUAAUAUAUUGAACCGCAUGGUUCAAUAGUGAAAGACGGUUUUGCUGUCACUUAUAGAUGGAUCCGCGCCGCAUUAGCUAGUUGGUAAGGUAACGGCUUACCAAGGCAACGAUGCGUAGCCGACCUGAGAGGGUGAUCGGCCACACUGGAACUGAGACACGGUCCAGACUCCUACGGGAGGCAGCAGUAGGGAAUCUUCCGCAAUGGGCGAAAGCCUGACGGAGCAACGCCGCGUGAGUGAUGAAGGUCUUCGGAUCGUAAAACUCUGUUAUUAGGGAAGAACAAAUGUGUAAGUAACUAUGCACGUCUUGACGGUACCUAAUCAGAAAGCCACGGCUAACUACGUGCCAGCAGCCGCGGUAAUACGUAGGUGGCAAGCGUUAUCCGGAAUUAUUGGGCGUAAAGCGCGCGUAGGCGGUUUUUUAAGUCUGAUGUGAAAGCCCACGGCUCAACCGUGGAGGGUCAUUGGAAACUGGAAAACUUGAGUGCAGAAGAGGAAAGUGGAAUUCCAUGUGUAGCGGUGAAAUGCGCAGAGAUAUGGAGGAACACCAGUGGCGAAGGCGACUUUCUGGUCUGUAACUGACGCUGAUGUGCGAAAGCGUGGGGAUCAAACCAGGAUUAGAUACCCUGGUAGUCCACGCCGUUAAACGAUGAGUGCUAAGUGUUAAGGGGGGUUUUCCGCCCCCUUAGUGCUGCAACUAAGCCAUUAAGCACUCCGGCUGGGGGAAGUACGACCCCAAGUUGAAACUAUAAGAAAUUGACGAGGAGACCCCGCACCAGCUCUGCAGCAUGUGGGUUUAUUCGAAGCAACCGCCGAAACAAACUUGACCAUGACCUUGGCAAAUCUG
rnacentral:rRNA from 1 species